rnacentral:lncRNA from 1 species
CGGCCGCUGCUGCAGCCACUUCCCAGGACCCUGAGCAACACCUGACAGAGCUGAGAGAACCAGCUCCUGGCACCAACCAGCGCCAACCCAGCAAGAAAGCCUCAAAGGGCAAGGGACUCCGAGGGAGCGCCAAGAUUUGGUCCAAGUCGAACUGAAAGGACUUGUUUCUUCCCUGGGAAUGUGGGGUCCCAGCUGCCUACCUGCCUAGCCCUUAGGAUUCCUCAGAGAGCCUUCCUGUGCCCCUGGCCAGCUGAUAAUGCUAGCUCAUGACUUCCAUCUCCUCCACCCCCAAGCAUAACCACAUCCUCUGUGGGGAGGAGGCCAGUACAGGUCAUGCUAUGUUGGUACUUCUUACGUGUCCCAUUCUCCUCCCCACCACGCUUGCUCCCAUUGUUCUUUAGCACUGUGUCUGCCCAUGACCCCCGGCAUUGAGCAGGCCGGCAGUCCUACAGAGGGUGCUGGCUCUCCACUACCCACACCUACCCCUGCAUGCCUAACCUGCAGCUCCUCCUCCUGCCUAGUGGGCUGCAUCUGAAAAGCCAUGGGGAAGGGGGUCUCCACCUUCAUCCCAGCCUUAGAGUUCUGGAGUCAGUCUGCUACCCUGGGAGUCACUGGACAUUUUCCUCCCAGAACCCCAUCACACUACAUUGUCUCUUGUCCUCUCUCAUCUCCUUGGGCCUGGGGAUACUGCUGCUCCAGUGACCCCAGAGCCUGAGGACAACUAUUUCUGAGAUGUUAAGAAAUGGUUCUUGGUUAGCUAAUCAUCUUAGGAAACACAAUGGAAAUCCUGCCAGAACUUAUAUCUCCUGUGGUUUUGGUGGGGAAGGAAAUAUAGAUUGUAUAUUAAAAAUAAAAAGUAUAUAUGAAUAGGUCUAUAUAUAACAUGACACAGAAAUAAAUCUAUGAGAAAUCUAUGUACAAAAAUGCCAGGAACUGGGCCUCUUCUGUCUUUGGUGUUUGUUAACAGGGAGAAGAUUAACCCCCAGUCCUCUGUAAAGCCAAGUGCCAAGUGAAAAGAACCAGACACUUUGCAGACUCUGGGCCUAGCAGCUAGGAGGCCUAGACCCUGGACAGAUUGCUCCACCCUCAGGCCACUGUCAGCAGUAACGAACCGUCAUGUAUAACAAUGGAGAUGCAGACUGACCGUCUCUGUCCCUGCAAGGACCUCCAGUGUAGUCUGCUUCCCUUCACCUCCGAGAAUCACAAGGGAGGUGAUGGUAGUGAACCUGACUUUUCACAUUGAAAGCACAUAAAACUAUUAGAUUUGUUGGUCUCUGUCCCUUUUGUCCAGAUUGAGAGUUUCCAAGAAGUAUGUGUGUCAGGA